UCGAGGGGUAUAAGUCUUCGGAUUUAGAGACCGGCGCACGGGUGCGUAACGCGUAUGCAAUCUACCUUUCACAGAGGGAUAGCCCAGAGAAAUUUGGAUUAAUACCUCAUAGUAUAGCUGAACCGCAUGGUUCUACUAUUAAAGUCACAACGGUGAAAGAUGAGCAUGCGUCCCAUUAGCUAGUUGGUAAGGUAACGGCUUACCAAGGCUACGAUGGGUAGGGGUCCUGAGAGGGAGAUCCCCCACACUGGUACUGAGACACGGACCAGACUCCUACGGGAGGCAGCAGUGAGGAAUAUUGGUCAAUGGACGCAAGUCUGAACCAGCCAUGCCGCGUGCAGGAUGACGGUCCUAUGGAUUGUAAACUGCUUUUGCACAGGAAGAAACAACUCUACGUGUAGAGUCUUGACGGUACUGUGAGAAUAAGGAUCGGCUAACUCCGUGCCAGCAGCCGCGGUAAUACGGAGGAUCCAAGCGUUAUCCGGAAUCAUUGGGUUUAAAGGGUCCGUAGGCGGUUUAGUAAGUCAGUGGUGAAAGCCCAUCGCUCAACGGUGGAACGGCCAUUGAUACUGCUAGACUUGAAUUAUUAGGAAGUAACUAGAA
rnacentral:rRNA from 1 species